CUUAAAUUUCUUUCUUUUUUUAUUUUUUUGAUUUUUUUUUUUUGAGACAGGGUUUCUCUGUGUAGCUUUGGAGCCUGUCCUGGAACUCAUUCUGUAGACCAGGCUGGCCUCAAACUUACAGAGAUCCACCUGCCUCUGCCUCCUGACCACUGGGAUUAAAGGUAUGUGCCACCACUGCCUGGCUGCCCUUAAAUUUCUUAUAGACAAAUCAGAAAACAUUUCAGCCAAUGUUCUAUUGUUCUGAUAGUCUUUGUACAAACGAACCUUUUUUUUUGUUUUGCUUUGUUUUGAAGACAGAGUCUCAUGUAUCCUAGGAUAGCCUCUAGCUUGCUUUAUAGCAUGGACAACCUUAAAUUUCUCAUUCUCCUGCCUCUGCCUCCCAAUUGAUGAGACUUCAGGGCUUUGCUACCAUGUGGGUUUUAUGUAAUGUAAGUGGAAGCCAGGGCUUUGUACAUGCUAGGCAAGCCCGCUCACAACUAAUCCACAGCCCCAGCCUCCCACAUGACCUUAAUGAGCCAGUUGUCAUCCAGUUUCUGCUGCCCACAAUGUCACUGGGAAGACAAGUCUUCAAGGAUCACCUUGUGCCUUCUGAGGCAUUUGCUUAUUCUAGGCACAGCUCUCUCAGGUUGGUUUAGGCUGAGUUCUCUCAGCAAUGAAGCUUCCCACUGAGUUUUCCCUCUAGCUCACACACCAGCUGGCCUGGAUUUUCUGGAAAGAUUCCAGUUGAACUGGAACAAAAAUUGUCAUACAUUUCCCACCAUUUUGAUUUCCUUGGCAUGGUGUUGGGCUCCAUAGCUGGACCUUGAAGUCCAAUUUCUUUUCUUGCAUCAGCAGUGUGUGGGAGGUGUCUGACUGGAACACCUUGAAUUCCUCACACUUCCUACCAUUGGGCUUCAUUAUUUGAUAAACAUGGAUUUGUCCUUGUAGACUACCAGCUUAGAAAGAGGCCCAGCUCUCGACAGAGUUUGUGUUGUGUUGGCUGAAGGAAAAAACAAGGUGUAUCUUUGGGUUAGUCCUUCAGCAUUUCUAAGCCAUUGUUCCUCCAUAGAGCAGGGGUAAAUGGCAAUUCUGCUCCUGAAAAUUCUAACAAGAAAUAGCCCAAACUAAUUACAAAAACAGUAACAACUACUAUUGGGCUAUAUAUAAAGGAAAAAUAUAAUAAUACCUGUAAGUGCAGGUGCUUUCAUGUGGCACCAGGAACAGGGACCUGAAAUAUGGGGAUUUAAGAAAAAUAAAAAAAGUUUUUUUUUUUCUUGGUUUUUCGAGACAGGGUUUCUCUGUGUAGCUUUGCGCCUUUCCUGGAACUCACUUGGUAGUCCAGGCUGGCCUCGAACUCACAGAGAUCCUCCAGGCUGGCCUCGAACUCACAGAGAUCCGCCUGGCUCUGCCUCCCGAGUGCUGGGAUUAAAGGCGUGCGCCACCACCGCCCGGCUAAAAAAAGUUUUUUAAAAAAGGAAAAAAGUUAAAGGCAAGGAACUCAUGGGAAUAGUGUGCACAGAGGUAUAAAAGGGCAGAAGCAUGCGUUGGAGGUAAGAAGAUGGACAGGAAGGGUCCAUGGAGCAGCGCUGGUUUGCAGAACUUCUGCACACCUGGUUGCUGGUGGGAAGAGUUAAAGUGGGACAUGAUUAGUUGAUGAAAUUCCUGGAGUUCAUUAGUAACUUCAGCUUCUCUCCCUGAAGAGGGAACUCUGGAUCCCAGAACUUGGUCCCCAUUAGGAAGAGCAAUUCAGAGGAUUAGAUGCAAGAAGACCAGAAAAAAAUUCCUAGUAAUGCUUUUCAGCUUUGGAAAGAAACAAAAUCAGUAAUAGAUAAACAUAAUAGUUAAAAUUAAAAAUGAAAGUGAUCAGAAAAAAGCAGAACUAAUAUGACAAUAGAAAAAUUAGAACCUAAAUAUAUAUUAUCUAGCUGGGUGGUGGUGGUGACGCAUGCCUUUAAUUCCAGCCUGGUCUACAGAGAGAGUUCCAGGACAGAGAAACCCUGUCUCGGGAGAAAACAAACAGAAAGACAGAUUAUCUAAUGUCUCUCUGCAAAGAGGUUGAGGGUUUCCUCCUCCUUGUGCUGAUUUUGCUCCCCUACCUACAGCUCCGGUUUCCUCUGCUCCUAAAACCUGGCCAUCAAGUGCACUUCUGAUAGCAUGGAACCUUUCCCCGCUGCUUUGUCUCGUUUCUCUCUGAGGUUGUUGGGAAGGCUUCUUACCCCCCAUAAGAGAAUUAACUCCUUUUGAGUCAAGGUCUCCCAGGCAAGAGACUUUGUAUUAGCCAAAGAGAUGGGAAAAGACAUGGGAGGAUUUUCUCUUUCACAGGCAGCCAAUCACCUGAUGGUUGAUAGAGAGAGAGAUGCCUACUGUGGAUACCCGAAAGACUCAACCUAUGGAAGAUGGACGAAGAGGUUCCAAAGCAUCUGCAGAGGCUACACCUGAAGAAAAGAACAGGGUGACAGAAUUGUCAAGCAGUGAAGAACGGAGGCUGCCUACCAACAGUGACUCAGAUGAAGAGAUCAGUGACUGAGGGAAGAGACUUGGUGACAUCUUAGGGGAAGGGUGUGACUGCAGAAUUGCUGUUCCUUGCUGUUCUGCCUCUGUUGACUACAUCUGUUACUGCUGAGACACAUUGGGCUUAUGUACCUACCGGAUCCUCCUGUGCUUCACUUUGUUAACUGGGAAGAGAAUAACAUGCCUGUUUAUGUCAAUGACUCUGAGAUUUGGGCGCCCCCCCCCCACUGCUAAUCAUGUUGUUCCCCAAGCAGAGACAAUCAUAUGAUAAUUUAAGUAUUGAUGUUCA